rnacentral:rRNA from 1 species
GAUGAACACUGACGGCGUGCCUAAUACAUGCAAGUCGAGCGAACAGACGAGGAGCUUGCUCCUCUGACGUUAGCGGCGGACGGGUGAGUAACACGUGGAUAACCUACCUAUAAGACUGGGAUAACUUCGGGAAACCGGAGCUAAUACCGGAUAAUAUAUUGAACCGCAUGGUUCAAUAGUGAAAGACGGUUUUGCUGUCACUUAUAGAUGGAUCCGCGCCGCAUUAGCUAGUUGGUAAGGUAACGGCUUACCAAGGCGACGAUGCGUAGCCGACCUGAGAGGGUGAUCGGCCACACUGGAACUGAGACACGGUCCAGACUCCCACGGGAGGCAGCAGUAGGGAAUCUUCCGCAAUGGGCGAAAGCCUGACGGAGCAACGCCGCGUGAGUGAUGAAGGUCUUCGGAUCGUAAAACUCUGUUAUUAGGGAAGAACAAAUGUGUAAGUAACUAUGCACGUCUUGACGGUACCUAAUCAGAAAGCCACGGCUAACUACGUG